rnacentral:rRNA from 1 species
UAUGGCUGUCGUCAGCUCGUGUCGUGAGAUGUUGGGUUAAGUCCCGCAACGAGCGCAACCCUCGUCCUUAGUUGCCAUCAUUUAGUUGGGCACUCUAAGGAAACCGCCGGUGAUAAGCCGGAGGAAGGUGGGGAUGACGUCAAGUCCUCAUGGCCCUUACGCGCUGGGCUACACACGUGCUACAAUGGCGGUGACAGCGGGCUGCUACCUCGCGAGGGGAAGCUAAUCCCGAAAAGCCGUCUCAGUUCGGAUUGUUCUCUGCAACUCGAGAGCAUGAAGGCGGUAUCGCUAGUAAUCGCGGAUCAGCAUGCCGCGGUGAAUACGUUCCCAGGCCUUGUACACACCGCCCGUGGGGCGGGGGCGACGGCAUG